AAACUCAAAUGAAUUGACGGGGCCCGCACAAGCGGUGAGCAUGUGGUUUAAUUCGAAGCAACGCGCAGAACCUUACCUACCCUUGACAUGUCCAGUAUGGUUUCCAGAGAUGGAUUCCUUCAGUUCGGCUGGCUGGAACACAGGUGCUGCAUGGCUGUCGUCAGCUCGUGUCGUGAGAUGUUGGGUUAAGUCCCGCAACGAGCGCAACCCUCAUCCUUAGUUGCCAUCACGUUUGGGUGGGCACUCUAAGGAAACUGCCGGUGGCAAGCCGGAGGAAGGUGGGGAUGACGUCAAGUCCUCAUGGCCCUUACGGGUAGGGCUACACACGUGCUACAAUGGCAGUGACAAUGGGAUAAUCCCAAAAAGCUGUCUCAGUUCGGAUUGUCGUCUGCAACUCGACGGCAUGAAGGUGGAAUCGCUAGUAAUCGUGGAUCAGCAUGCCACGGUGAAUACGUUCCCGGGGCUU
rnacentral:rRNA from 1 species